CCUCCCAACCCCUAAUUUCUGUCCUAAUCUUCCUGGCGGCGAGCGCGCAAGAGCAGAGGCUACCGGGACUAGCGGCGGCGAGCGGGCAGCAGCACCACGACGACGAGGUCAAGAACCCCAGCGGCCGCCUCCCAGCGCCGACAAAAGGGGAUCCCCUUCUCCUCGCCCCAGCGGUCAUCCGGGAGAAGAUGGCAUGUGCCUCCAGAUGUGCCGCCGCUGCGCCAUGGAGGCUGGCUUGCCGAUGGUUCUCUAAUUCUGUGUCGGGGAUGAUGGUCUGCUGGUGCACGCCGUUGAAUACCCCAUUUCCUCGCCCCGGUGGUCAUCCGGGAGAAGGGCGACCUGUGCCUCAAGAUGUGCCGCGCCUCCGUGACAUGGAGGCCGGCCUGGUGAUGGUGCUCUUUCCGUGUCAGGGACGAUGGGCUGCUGCUGCACGCCGGUGAAUAGCAGCAAUCGAGUACUCCAUGAUGUCACGUCCGUUCCCCUCUUGCUAAUACAAUGAGGUGCUCGCCCGGCAACACGCCGACGCCGCCGGCCCGGCGGAGAUGUCGCUGGCCUUCUAGGACAUGCUCUGGGCGCACUUUCACCAACCGCUCGGUACGCACUGGAUGUGAACGUGGAGGGGGCAGAGGACGUGGUGACGCACAAGCCGCUGCUUGAGGUCGAGAAAGGAGAAAAUAGAUGAAGCGCAUUGCAAACGUAAGGUGCCCUUACAUUGUGGAGUACAAAUACUGUUGGGUGGAUAAGGUGAGCAUGGUCCUCGCUUGCCCUAUAUGUGCAUAUGCCAUAUUGGCAGGGUCUAGAGAGCAAUCUUUGCUAUUGUGCCCUUCCUUCAUGUUUCACUGAUCCAAUUGGAGGAUUUGUAUGAUCCUGAAUGGAUGAUUUUGUUGGUGUUUUUAGGGGUGGUGUGUCUGCUUUGUGAUCGGCUACUGGAGGGGAGCAGACAUCUAUGUAACUUGUGAAGUAAGCUCUCAAUUGUAUUUGAACCUGUAACGAAAUUUUGGUUAUUUUUGUUUCAUUGUACAGGUUAGAGGCUUAAAAGGUCUAAUGCCAAUCACCUCUUGGAAGAGGUGGUUAAUUGGUCUGUAAUAUGGGAUAUUCACUACCUGCAAUUUUUGAUUAUUCAAAUUUUUGACUCUUCUGUCCAUUUUCUGCAAGCAGAAACUCUGAGUAUGCCUUGUGCAGGUCCUAAUAGCACUUGACUACUUCCAUGCUAAUCAUGUCCUUCAUCACUAUGUGA